GAUGAACGCUAGCGGCAGGCCUAAUACAUGCAAGUCGAACGGUAACAUGAGUAGCAAUACUUGAUGACGAGUGGCGCACGGGUGCGUAACGCGUAUGCAAUCUACCUUUAACUGGUGAAUAGCCCGAAGAAAUUCGGAUUAAUACACCAUAGUAUAUUUGAAUGGCAUCAUUUAAAUAUUAAAACUACGGUGGUUAAAGAUGAGCAUGCGUGACAUUAGCUAGUUGGUGAGGUAAUGGCUAACCAAGGCUACGAUGUCUAGGGGAUCUGAGAGGAUUAACCCCCACACUGGUACUGAGACACGGACCAGACUCCUACGGGAGGCAGCAGUAAGGAAUAUUGGACAAUGGUCGAAAGACUGAUCCAGCCAUGCCGCGUGAAGGAUGACGGCCCUAUGGGUUGUAAACUUCUUUUGUAUGGGAAAAAACCCUUCUACGUGUAGAAGGCUGAUGGUACCAUAAGAAUAAGGAUCGGCUAACUCCGUGCCAGCCGCCGCGGUAA
rnacentral:rRNA from 1 species